CUGGCGGCAGGCCUAACACAUGCAAGUCGAGCGGCAGCGACAACAUUGAACCUUCGGGGGAUUUGUUGGGCGGCGAGCGGCGGACGGGUGAGUAAUGCCUAGGAAAUUGCCCUGAUGUGGGGGAUAACCAUUGGAAACGAUGGCUAAUACCGCAUGAUGCCUACGGGCCAAAGAGGGGGACCUUCGGGCCUCUCGCGUCAGGAUAUGCCUAGGUGGGAUUAGCUAGUUGGUGAGGUAAGGGCUCACCAAGGCGACGAUCCCUAGCUGGUCUGAGAGGAUGAUCAGCCACACUGGAACUGAGACACGGUCCAGACUCCUACGGGAGGCAGCAGUGGGGAAUAUUGCACAAUGGGCGCAAGCCUGAUGCAGCCAUGCCGCGUGUGUGAAGAAGGCCUUCGGGUUGUAAAGCACUUUCAGUCGUGAGGAAGGUAGUGUAGUUAAUAGCUGCAUUAUUUGACGUUAGCGACAGAAGAAGCACCGGCUAACUCCG
rnacentral:rRNA from 1 species